rnacentral:rRNA from 1 species
GAGUGUGCGAUCAUAAGAGUAGCUGGGUAUAUCCUAAUUCCGAAAAAUUUUGAAAAAAAAUUAUAUAUUUUCUUUGAGUCUUUAUUUAAUAUAUAAAUUUUAUAUAAAUUUAAUAUUUCGCCGAUCGCUUAUGGCGGUUGACCGAUUUUUAAGAUGAAUUUAUAGAUAAGUAGAUAAGAUAUAUUACUUAUCUCUAUAUAUAUUUAAUCACUAUCUUUUUAUUUAAAAUAAAUUUUAAUUUUAAAGCAAGUAAGAUUUUAACUAUAUCGAGGAUAGGUGUAAUAAAUAAAAUUCACAUUUUCUAAUCUUCUGCGCACUCGUUCAAUCG